GACGUUACAGUGACAAUGUGUUAGGUAUACCUAUUUGUGUAUUACACAAGAAAAGGUAGGCGACGACGAUACGAAACGUUACAGUGAAAAUGUGUUAGGUAUACAAGAAAAGGUAGGCGGCGGCGAUGCGAGACGUUACAGUGAAAGUUUGGCAGUAAGCGAAGAAUGUUUUUGUGCGCGAUAAAGACAAACUGAAAAUUUCUGUUGUGUACUUCUGUCCACACUCUUUGAGAUUCUACUGUUAACCUCCAAAACAAUCAACAUCACGCUAUGUAUUGAAUCCCCUUCAACCAAAGACGUAACACGCAGUGUAUUGAAUCCCUUUCAACCAAAGACAUCGUUGGUAUUUGAAGCCUGAAUAAUACCGUAUGGGCUAAACGGCUAGGUCAAAGACUUCAAGAUUCAAACUUGUAAAUGUUUGUGAAUUUCAUCUGCUGACCAGAGGAAAUAUAUCGAAUCAGCAACACCCGCCGCCUCCGACAUGACUACUGGAUUGACUGUAAAUUUUAAACCACACUUAAGUGCAGAGUGUGUUCAGAAACAUAUCAAGGUUUGAACCGUGGGCCGUUUCCGUAGUCAGGGGGUCCAUCUUUUUUGCAUUACUUUUCGGGGACCCGCAAUAUGACGGGCCCGUAGGUGCGUUGCCACGAUUGCACCGACGUUAAAUACGCCACUGUUUUAGUAUAACACAAUUUGGAGGAAGAAAGAAGUCUCUACGGUUGCUAAGUUCUAGACAAAAUUUCAAAACAAAGCCACAUUGGGCUGUCUGCUGUACCUACCUCGGGAAAUCAAACCCUGGAUUCUAGUGUUGUAAGUUCGUAAACUUACCACUGACCCACCGGGAGACAGGCAAUACGAUGGCAAGAGCAGAUAAAUUAAGCCAUUUGAAACGACUGUGAGCUUGUGGUGGUGGCAGAAAGAUGUAGCAUGUUUAUUAUAUGUAGUGUGGUUUGUUUGAUAUAAUUAUAUUAAGAUAAUGAUCAU